rnacentral:lncRNA from 1 species
AAACCGUGUACGAUUUAAAAGAAUUAAAUACAACCCAAAUAAAUUCCAACUAAUAUACAAUACCCCAAAGUUCAACCAAUAAUAGCCCUACAAUCACAGUAAACUAGCCUUAGCCCAAAGUCCAACCGAUAAUGGCCCAAACAAGAAAGUAAAUUAGUCCAAGCCCAACAAUUAACUCACCAAGUCAAUAACUCAAAUGAAAUGAAAUCUUGAACUCCAGACUUGAGCCCAAAUGCACCCACAACAGAUCUCAGACGACGCCUAUCGAAACACUGCGAAUCACAACAGCAAAAGCAGAAUCCGACUCAGACAGCGCCGGAACACUGCUUCAACCCAAGAAAGGCGAUCGAAUGAAGUUGGAAAGAACGGCACCGACAGGAAGACAAAACAAGUGCGACUGAAUGAAGAGGAAAGGAUUGACACCAACAAGAAGGCUUAUACUCGACCACGAAGACCUUGACUCCAACUUCAAGAAACAGAAGGUCGACUACUAGGAACCGGUCACCAAUCACACACAACAAUAGGCCGUCUAUGAGGAACCUGUCACUGAUUGCGUCGGAAACACACGAAACAAACACAAGUUCGAAAUUAUUUUAAAACUGAUAUCAUGACAAGAAUUGGCCGAAUGCCCUUACAGUAUGUAUUUGCUUUCUAAUUUAUAGAAUUUUAAAUAGGCAUAAAAGGAAAGAAAAUCAAUUCCUAAUUCUAUGUGAGGGAAUCAAUCCCUGAUAUUAUGUGUCUCUACAAGAAAAGAUAACAAAUCAUAAAUCACGCCUCUAAUAAUCUAUACUCGCCAAAUCACUGCUAAUCCCAUUUUGUGAUCUAUCCAAUUCCUUACAUUGCCUAGAAUACUUCAUUUUUAUCUCUCGAAACUUUAGCUUACAGUUCUUUGUUGACUAUCUGAAAUAUUAAUUUUAUAUUGGGCAGGGGCAGCUGGUCUAUGAUUUUGUAUGAUACAAGUGUACUUAGGAGAGUUCUUUUUGGUAUUUUGUAUGUCAUUUCAUCAGUGGUUGACUGUACCUAGAACUCAUAUGAAGUGUUCAUAGUGGAUUUUCCUUUAAGCUGAAUCACAUCCUGUCGUCAUACAUUAUAUUUUCUUUUGGCCAGUUUAAAUUAAGGGGGGUCUGUUGGGAUAAUGAAGAUUUUCCCUGUACAACACCAUUUUCGGUUUUGUUUUCACAUUGGCUAAUUAAAUGUCCUCGUCAUAUAAUUUAGAAUAAAGCUACUUAGCUAGGCUUAAAAAUAUGGAG